rnacentral:rRNA from 1 species
GAGAGAGCCAAGGAGCGGCAGUGUUGUGGUGGCGUACACCCGUCGAUCCCAGGCCGACUUUAAUUAGCCACAGUUACUACCACCUGCUUCGCAACCCCCACCGCCAUGAAUGCGUGAUCUACUACUAGGCCGCUAGGGCUGCUGCUGCUCACAGCCCCAUCCAUGCCUCUCUCUCGUCACCUCCCCAACCGUAAAUUGAAAAUGAAGUGAAGUGUCGUGGAGAAAACGAGGUCCAACAUCGAGAGAACGCGGCAGCAUAAAUUCCAGCCGAGCAAUGCCUCUGUUUCUCACUCCCUCUCUCUCCUUUUCUCUCUCAGCAUUAAUGGUGGGGGGUUGCCUGGGUUGCUAAGCUAAGCUGCCUGCCUUGCUCGGCUGCGCUGGAGGAGAGGGGUCGCGGGCAUGUGCUUGCAUCCAUCUCGGAGUUGAAGAGACGGAAAACCGACUAGGUGGUGGCGGAGAGGAGAUGGGGGAGGGGAACGGGACGGCGUGGGCGGGGGCGCUGUCGCCGGCGGCGCGGUACGCGGAGACGGGAGGGGCGAGCUUGACAUGGGAGAACCUGACGGCCGUGCUGCCUGGGUCCGGCGGCCGGCCGACCAAGAAGCUCUUGCAAGGGCUGUACGGCUACGCCGUGCCCGGCAGGAUCGUCGCCAUCAUGGGGCCCUCCGGCUCCGGCAAGUCCACCCUCCUCGACUCCCUCUCCGGGAGGCUGGCGAGGAAUGUGCUCCAGACCGGCAAGGUGUUGCUCAACGGCAAGAAGAGGCGGCUCGACUUUGGCGCGGUGGCGUACGUGACACAGGAGAACGUUCUGCUGGGCACGCUGACCGUCCGGGAGACGGUCACCUACUCGGCGCAGCUGCGGCUGCCGUCGAGCAUGUCAAAGGCUGAGGUGCGCCGAGUCGUGGACGACACACUGGACGAGAUGGGCCUCCGGGAGUGCGCUGAGCGGCCCAUCGGCACGUGGCACCUCCGGGGCAUCAGCGGCGGCGAGAAGAAGCGGCUGUGCAUCGCGCUGGAGAUCCUCACCCGGCCGCGCCUCCUCUUCCUCGACGAGCCCACCAGUGGCCUCGACAGCGCCUCUGCCUUCUCCGUCAUCGAGACGCUCCGCACACUUGCCAUUGAUGGCGGACGCACCAUUGUCUCGUCGGUGCACCAGCCCAGCAGCGAGGUAUUUGCGCUCUUCGACGAUCUCUGCCUCCUCUCCAGCGGCGAGAGUGUCUACUUCGGGGAUGCCAAGCUUGCACCACAGUUCUUUGCAGAAACCGGAUUCCCCUGCCCGAGCCGGAGGAACCCAUCCGACCACUUCCUCCGGUGCGUCAAUUCGGACUUCGACGAUGUCGCCACGGCCCUGAAAGGAUCCAUGAAGCUCCGAGCAGAGGCAGAUCUUGAUCCCCUGUUGAAGUACUCGACUACGGAGAUCCGAGAGCGGCUCGUGGAUAAGUACCGGAUCUCAGACUACGCCAUGAUGGUUAGGAACACAAUACACGAGAUAAGCAAAAUAGAGGGUGUGAUGGAGGAGGCAGUGAAGGGCAGCCAAGCGACCUGGUGCAAGCAGCUGCGCACGCUGACCAAGCGCUCCUACAUCAACAUGUACCGUGACUUCGGCUACUACAGGCUGCGCAUCAUCAUCUACGUCCUGAUGGCCAUCUGCCUUGGCACCAUCUACUACGACGUCGGCAACGGCUACACCGCGAUCCAGGCGCGUGCCUCCUGCGGCGGCUUCGUCUCGGGCUUCAUGACGUUCAUGUCCAUCGGCGGCUUCCCCUCCUUCAUCGAGGAGAUGAAGGUCUUCUCCCUCGAGCGGCAGAACGGCCACUACGGCGUCGCCGCCUACAUCAUAUCCAACUUCCUCUCCUCCAUGCCGUUCCUGUUGACAAUGUCCUGGGCCAGCGCCUCCAUCACAUACUGGAUGGUCAAGUUCCGGCCAGGAUUCAGCUACUUCGCCUUCUUCGCCCUCAACCUCUAUGGCGGCGUCUCCGUCAUCGAGAGCCUCAUGAUGAUCAUCUCCGCCCUUGUGCCCAACUUCCUCAUGGGCCUCAUCCUUGGCGCCGGCGUCAUUGGGAUCAUGAUGUUGACGUCUGGAUUCUUCCGGCUCCUUCCAGAACUUCCCAAGAUUUUCUGGAAAUACCCAGUGUCCUACAUUGUCUACGGCUCUUGGGGUUUGAAGGGUGCAUACAAGAACGACCUGCUCGGGCUGGAGUUCGAGCCGAUGACGCCGGGAGGCGAGAAGCUGACCGGCGAGUUCAUCAUCACCAACAUGAUGGGGCUGAGCGUCAGCUACUCCAAGUGGCUAGACCUAGCCAUGAUCUUCAUCCUCCUCCUGGCCUACCGCAUCACCUUCUUCUUCGUCCUCAAGGUCAAGGAGGCCGCCGCGCCCUACCUCCGCGUCGCCUACACGCGGUUCACUGUGAAGCGCCUUGAGCGGCGGGCGUCCUUCAGGGAGUCGCUGGCCAUGACGUCCUUGUCCAAGCGGCACAACGCGCCGCACCCCAUGGCCAUGCAGGAGGGGCUCAACUCCCCCAUGCAGCAGUACUGACUGGCCAAUGACGAUGAGUACCAGGAGCAGCCGCCCCGGCAGUUGAGUUGAUCAUUACUACAGCAAGAAGAUAGCCGUCCGUGACAUGCGUCUGUCACGAUUACUUGUGUAUGCGUUUCCACUUGUUAGUUUUGCUUGCAGGCUUGCGGCUUCGCUGGAAGCUUCAAGGCUCAUAAACAUACGGAUAGUGCAUUCUUUAAAAGUUUGGUUUUACUGUAAGAAGUCGCUGCAACCAAUACAGAUGCGAGAUAAUAUUACGCCUCAUUGUUUUGCUCGUUUGUUUUAAGCUCGGUUACUUCAUGCACAUAUCCAAGGGAAAAGGAACAUCAC